UUGCUUCAGCAGCACAUAUAUUAAAAUUGAAAUGAUACAGAGAAGAUUAGCAUGGUGUCUUCUAGAUGAUGUGUUGUGUGCUUUAAAGUAAUUUCUGACUUAU